UGUGUUAUUUUAUAAAAAUAUUUAAAUUUUUAGUAAGAUUUUGUUAGAUUCUUUCUCAACAGAUUUCGUUUUAAUUACAAAAAUUAAAAUUAAAAUUAAUAGUUAGUUUAUUCUUAAUGUAAAUAAUAAAAUAUGUCAUAUUAACUAAUUCUUGAAGUGGUUAUACUAUGACUUGUUAAUAGCAGAUAAAAAUAUGACUUUAAAUUAUUAGAUUAGAUACCACAAACUGUAAAGAAAAAGAGGAAUUUGCAUAAAUGUAUAACUGAAGCAAUUUUUCCAAAUAAACAUAAAUAGAGGGUUUAAAUCAAAAUAGAGGAUGUUAAAGCAGGUGGGUGAGAUAAGGGUUACCUCCAUGCAUUAGGUAAAAACAUUAUACAAAUAAGUAAGAUUUUUUUUCCGACAAUAAGUACAAAUAUUUUAAAUAUAAAUAUAUAGUGAAUUUUUUUUUUACUUAUUUAUUUGGAAUUCCUUCCGCCUCAGGGGUUUUUCCAUCGUCCUCGGUCUUCACAUGUAUGGAUUAUCUAUUUUGGAGGUUACCGAAAGAGGAUGAAUUUAGCUAUUUUCCAUGGAUAUUAUAGUAUAUAUGUAAUUCUAGGAAUGAUAAGGUCUAUUCUAAUAAGGAUGGAAACCCGCAGGAGAUCCUGCGUCUAGCUGAAGUGGAAAGCACGACAUGGAUGGAGGCACAAUUAACAGUGAAAAAACAGUAUGAGCAUCUUCAUCAUGGGAGUUUAUAACAUGGGACUGAUUGGAUUCCCUUGUACAAUACGAGGAUUUGUUAUAUUGAUGGAGCCUGAAAAAAAAAAGAUAAAUUCACGGGACAAGGAUGGUUCCGUCGAAGUACUGGCUCGGCAGAUGUUAUGAUGGGUGCGAUGAAUCUCCAUAGAAGUCUAUCUCCUCUGCAUGCUGAAUGAUAAGCAUUGAUAUGGGUGAUGGAGUACAUGAAGACCCUUCAGUUCUCUGAAGUAGUGUUUGCGACGGAUUAUUCUCAAUUGGUGAAGAUGGUGUCGAUAUCUGAGGGCUGGCCAGCUUUCUCUACACACAUGGAAGAAUUUAGACACAGUAAGUGUUUCUUCCCUGAUUUCCGGAUCAGACAUAUUCCAAGAGCACAAAACACUUUGGCGGACAGACGUGCACGUGGUGUGAAAAGUUCUCCUACAGCUAUGCUAUAUGUCGAUUCCACACCUCCGGCUUGGCUCUCCAAAUCAAAUGGUUUAGUUACUUAAUUUCACUGUUGUUGUCAAGAAAAAAAAACGUAUUUAUUUGGAAUUAAUAUAACUAAAUUUGUUACUAAGUUAUGUAAAUACAUAUGUAAUUUUUUGAAACUUGGAUUAAUACAUAUCACAUGUACUUUUGUUUUUCAAUUAAAGAUGGUUUGUGUUAUGUUAAAAAAAUAAAAAUGGUUUGGUUACCUAACCUCCUCAAAAAAAAAUUAAUAUAAAACUCUUCUAAAAUAAUUGUUGGUUAAUAUUUUAGUUUCACUAUUUCUUAAAUUAGAAACAUUGAAAGAUAACUAAUACCCACUCUGUUUCAUAAAAAAUGUCCUAUGACACUAUCUUAUUACAGAAAAUAGAGUAUUACUUAAAAAAUUUAAUACAAUUUAUAUCUAUUUUAUAUUUAAUAUUAAUUAUUCAAUACUUUGAUCUUAUAAAUAAUUUUAUUUAUUUUUAAAAUAUUUGGUUAAAUAAAGGUACUUAUUAAAACAUUAAUAUGUUUUAGUUAGUUUUAAUGAGAGUAUAAGUGAUAUAAAUGAUAUAAAAUGAUACUCUUCAUGAAAAAAACGAAUAUUUAAUACUUAAAUAAAUAUGGAAGCUAAAGUAUAAUCGUCGUCUCCCACAUUCCAUAUUUUGUUUUCAUUGCCUUUUCUUAAUACUUGCACACAGAUGCACUACAUAAAAGGAUAGAGAUUUCGACCGAAAAAGGGACAAAGACACAAAAACAAGGAGACAACGUAACUACUAAUAAAUUAGAUAAUUACAUAGGUCUCAAGUGUUUUUAGUAAAGGGUCUCAAGUGUUUGUAUUAAACUAAGAAUUAAGAAUAUAGUAUUAACGUUGACAUUAUUAGAUUUUCUAGCAUUUUUUUUCUAGUUUUCUCCUUUUGCUAAGCCGGUUGACAGUGAUAUAUUAUGUCACUUAUAUAAAAAUAAAAUAAAAAAAUAUUGUUAGAGUGAUGUUAGUUAUAGCAUCCACGAUGAUAAUGAUUAUGGUGGUAAUAUAUAAAUAGAAUAGAACAUACUAAAUGGUAUAGUUCAUAUUAAUGAAAAUAUAAAAUGAUUUAAAUAUAUUAAUAUACUAUAUACGUCCAAAAUUAACAAAACUAAAUCUAAUGUCAACCCAAAUUUUCCAUAAACUAAACUUAAAACAAUAAUCCCUAAAAAAAAUAUAAACCUGAAUCCAAAUAUCAAAAUAUGCAAAUAGUACAUAAUAUGAAGCAUAAUUAAAAUAGAGUAGUAAUAAACAAAUAUCAUAAUACAUAUUGUUCAAAUUAUAAACAUGUCUAUGAUUGCAGAGAAUAAAGUAAUGCUUACUCCAACGUCGACCGAAACCUUUCAUAAACUAAACUUAAAACACUAAUCACUAAAUCCUAAAAGGAAAUAUAAAUUCUUACCUAAAUAUCAAAAUAUGUACAUAGUACAUAAUUUCAAAAAUUAUCAAAACAGAAUAGUAACAGAAAAAAUAGAAUUGUAAAUAUUGUUCAAAUUUUGAUUUGUUUAUGAUUGCAAAGAAGAAGUUAAUGUUUACUCCAACGUCAACCAAACCUUUCAUAAACUAAACCCAAAACACUAAUUACUAAACUUUAGAAAAAAAUAUAAACCCUUACCUAAAUAUCAAAAUAUGCACAUAGUAUAUAAUAUGAAGUACUAUGAAAAUAGAAAUAGUAACAACGAAAUAUCAUAGUAUAACCAAUAAGUUGCAAUACAUACGAGUGGUGGUUACGACGGAAAAGAUGAUGACUAAUAUCAAAGAGAUGAUGAUUGUUUUGAAAGAUGUGAUAGCAAAAAUAUAAAAGAGAAAUUACAGAUUUGAUUAUUAACUAAAAAAAAGAUGAUAAUAGCUACGGUGAUAAAAAAUAUCGAAAUGAUUGAAAUUGUUUUUUUACAGAAAGUGAUGGUGGAUUGAAAAAAGUAGUGAUAAUGGUAGGUAACUGAAGAAGAAGAAGUUUAUACACUUAUUAACCGGCAAAGAAAAGUUAUAUAGUAUAUAUUGUAAUAAUAGUGGAAAAUAUUUUUUCUAGUUAGAUAGCUAGUUAUACUUUAUUUCAUGGCAAGUGAGGCCAAUUUCCUUUGUUCUUAGAAGAUAUGACAUGAUUAAAUUGGGUGAAGGUGAUGUCCAAACAAAAACCUAAAUUUCAGUGUCCUUCUUGGAGUGCUAAAUAAAAACAAUAUACUAAUAUAAGUGUACAAUGUGUUCAGAACCAUCACACACACACAUUUAUCUUUCGCCUUUCUAGAAUACACCGAUCCAUAUUUCCAACAUCGAUUGUUUUAGCUAGGCACUGCAAAAAGUUAAAAUGUAUCAGAAAAUUUAUCGACACAAAUUAGAAUUACUUAAAAAUAAAUGAUGCAAUUUAUACAGUCUUACAUCAGUGUUAAUAAGUGAUGUCAUUGGAAAUUCUUAUUGUGUCUGUUCAUACAAGUGACGCUAAUAAAUACACAUUUGUAUCACUUUCCAAACCUAAUGCUAAUAUAAAGUCGGUUCAUUAUAAGAAUUUUUUACUUCCCAAGACACUUUUUGAGUUUCGUAUUUCACCGUAAGGCACUUUGCACUUUGCACUUGAAGCAACCUUAUUUGCUAGUCAAAAACAUUGAUGCCCUUAUAAUAAAGAAAACCAAACCAGACUUCUAUUAGCCUAAACCUAACCAUACCAACCUCACCCUAUACCAAGUUCAAAAUCCUAAAUUCUCAUCUUUCCUCAUUUUGAAUCACAAGCUUUUUUUUGAGAGAGAAAAAAACUUUGUGUGGCGGAAAUUAAGAACUCUAGUUCCUCUAUCAUCGUCCUCACCUUCUAAAUCUUAUUUCUUGAUUUUCGUCACAAACCUCCAUCUCACACGCACCUACUCAACACCAUCUGAAUCUCACCAUCGAGUAGAGCACACAGUCAUUUUUUUUCCACAUGCGAGGAAACAACAAACCGACCACCGCCUCCCACAAAUCCCAUUGAAAGAUGAUUGAGUUCUGGGCUGGUGACAUGUGGAUAGGAGAGUUGUGGGCUGGUGACCUGUGGAUGGGUGAGUUGUAGUUGGGUGACAUGUGGUCGGGUGAGCUGCGGAUUGGUGAACUAUUGUAACGUGAGAUGUGUACGGACGAGCUGUGGUCGGGUGAGUUGUGGACGGGUAAGCCAUGGAGGAGCGAGCUGGGGACGUAAUGUUGUGUGGCUGACCACAUGGGAGUGUUGUGUGGAUGGAGAGUCAACUUCCACCCAUGUAGCUUUCGUACUCCCUGCUUACUACGCUCCACCCAUGCAACAAUCAGAAGUUUCAAAACUAUUUUGUGUUCUAUGUUCCCUAUGUUUUCUCUUUUUAACUCGGCGUUUCUAUAGCUCGUAAGAUGUCCAUGUAAUCUUUUCUAGACUGUAGCCUCUUCAUUGUUUUUGAGAUCAAACAAUCCGUAUGUAAUGUUAAUGCUAAGGUUUAUGUUUAAAAAAAAUAGUUGUGUA